rnacentral:rRNA from 1 species
ACGGAGGGCUUGCCCUUCUGAUCAGUGGCGAACGGGUGAGUAACACGUGAGUAACCUGCCCUUCACUCUGGGAUAACGCUGGGAAACCGGUGCUAAUACUGGAUAUGACCUACUCGGGCAUCCGAUGUGGGUGGAAAGAUUUAUUGGUGGAGGAUGGACUCGCGGCCUAUCAGCUUGUUGGUGAGGUAAUGGCUCACCAAGGCGACGACGGGUAGCCGGCCUGAGAGGGCGAUCGGCCACACUGGGACUGAGACACGGCCCAGACUCCUACGGGAGGCAGCAGUGGGGAAUAUUGCACAAUGGGCGAAAGCCUGAUGCAGCGACGCCGCGUGAGGGAUGAAGGCCUUCGGGUUGUAAACCUCUUUCAGCAGGGAAGAAGCAGCUGGGUUUUCUUGGUUGUGACGGUACCUGCAGAAGAAGCACCGGCUAACUACGUGCCAGCAGCCGCGGUAAUACGUAGGGUGCAAGCGUUGUCCGGAAUUAUUGGGCGUAAAGAGCUUGUAGGCGGUUUGUCGCGUCUGCUGUGAAAUUUCGGGGCUCAACCCCGAACUUGCAGUGGGUACGGGCAGACUAGAGUGUGGUAGGGGAGACUGGAAUUCCUGGUGUAGCGGUGAAAUGCGCAGAUAUCAGGAGGAACACCGAUGGCGAAGGCAGGUCUCUGGGCCACUACUGACGCUGAGAAGCGAAAGCAUGGGGAGCGAACAGGAUUAGAUACCCUGGUAGUCCAUGCCGUAAACGUUGGGAACUAGGUGUGGGCCUCAUUCCACGAGGUCCGUGCCGCAGCUAACGCAUUAAGUUCCC